AUUGAACGCUGGCGGAAUGCUUUACACCUGCAAGUCGAACGGCAGCACGGACUUCGGUCUGGUGGCGAGUGGCGAACGGGUGAGUAAUGUAUCGGAACGUGCCCAGUCGUGGGGGAUAACGUAGUGAAAAUUACGCUAAUACCGCAUACGAUCUAUGGAUGAAAGCGGGGGAUCGCAAGACCCCGCGCGAUUGGAGCGGCCGAUAUUAGAUUAGGUAGUUGGGGGGGUAAAGGCCCACCAAGCCAACGAUCUGUAGCUGGUCUGAGAGGACGACAAGCCACACUGGAACUGGGACACGGACCAGACUCCUACGGGAGGAAGCAGUGGGGAAUUGUGGACAAUGGGCGAAAGCCUGAUCCAGCCAUUCCGCGUGCAGGAUGAAGGCCCUCGGGUUGUAAACUGCUUUUGUACAGAACGAAAAGGUUUCUACUAAUACUAGGAGCUCAUGACGGUACCAGAUGAAUAAGCACCGGCUAACUCCGUGCCAGCCGCCGCCGUAA
rnacentral:rRNA from 1 species